GGGGCCGUAGCUCAAUCGGUUAGAGCAGCCGACUCAUAAUCGGUUGGUUGUGGGUUCAAGUCCCGCCGGCCCUA
rnacentral:tRNA from 1 species